UACGAAGGGUGCAAACGUUGCUCGGAAUCAUUGGGCGUAAAGCGCACGUAGGCGGCCUUGCAAGUCGGAUGUGAAAUCCCUCCGCUCAACGGAGGAAGUGCAUCCGAAACUGCUUGGCUCGAGUAUGGAAGAGGGUCGCAGAAUUCCCGGUGUAGAGGUGAAAUUCGUAGAUAUCGGGAGGAAUACCAGUGGCGAAGGCGGCGACCUGGGCCAAUACUGACGCUGAGGUGCGAAAGCGUGGGUAGCAAACAGG
rnacentral:rRNA from 1 species